GAUUUUGUCAAAUUUCGGUACUAAGCCGCCCCACUAUAGCCGGUCUCUCUUAAAGAAAGCUUUUUUCUUUUGUCGGCGUGCCUCUUGAAAGUGGGGCCACAGAGCCUUCCUGCGCUCGUUUAUCUCCUUUGGGAACUGUUCGUUUAUGCCGUAUUUCGUAUCUUUAAGUUCACGAGCGGCUUUUCGUACUAGUUCUCUCUGUUUGUAAUUCACAAAUCUACUACACACUAUAGGUUUAGUAAUAAACUUAAUUGACCCGUCAGGAUGUUUUUCGGUGUACUCCUUUCCAAAAC
rnacentral:lncRNA from 1 species